CGGGGUAUAGCUCAGUGGCAGAGCACAUGCUUAGCAUGCACAAGGUCCUGGUUUCAAUCCCCAGUAUCCUCA
rnacentral:tRNA from 1 species